ACAGCUUGCCAUGGGUGUCCUGGGACAUGCCCCUUCAGUUCUCUAGGAGGUAAAACUUGUGCCUCCCAAGGUUUCUACCUCCAAGACCUUCACAAAGGUUUGUCCAGAAUUACCUCAAAAGAGUUUGGGGGCCGGGCAUGGCGGCUCAUGCCUGUAAUUCCAGCACUUCGGGAGGCCGAGGCAGGCAGAUCACCUGAGAUCAGGACUUGGAGACCAGCCUGACCAACAUGGUGAAACCCCGUCUCUACUAAAAGUACAAAAGUAGCCAGCCAUGGUGGUGCACGCCUGUAAUCCCAGCUACUCAGGAAGCUGAGGCAGGAGAAUCACCUGAACUUAGGAAGUGAAGGUUGCAAUGAGCCGAGAUCGUGCCACUGCGCUACAGCCUGGGCAACAAGAGUGAAACUCUUUUUUAUUUUUUUUGAGACUGAGUUUGG
rnacentral:lncRNA from 1 species